rnacentral:lncRNA from 1 species
AAUUAUCUCAGAUCCAGAAUGAUAGCUUUAGUAAGCCCCAGCACUAAUUCCUCCUUCUUCCUUCUCACUGGAUUUUCUGGUCUGGAGCAGCAAUAUCCCUGGAUUCUGUUCCCUUCUCCACCAUUUAUGCUAUUGUUCUUUUGGGUAACUGCCUGGUGCUGUAUGUAAUCUGGACUGAACCUAGCCUGCAUCAACCCAUGUUCUACUUCCUGGCCAUGCUGGCUAUCACUGAUUUGUGCAUGGGACUGUCCACAGUGAACACAGUGCUAGGGAUCCUGUUGGGGUUGAUUCAAGAGAUCAGCCUGGAUUCCUGCAUUACCCAGGCCUAUUUCAUCCAUGGUCUGUCCUUCAUGGAAUCCUCUGUUCUCCUAACUAUGGCCUUUGACCGGUACAUUGCAAUUUGCAAUCCACUGCGUUAUUCCUCUAUCCUGACUAAUUCCAGAAUUAUCAAAAUCGGACUCACCAUUUCAGGUAGGAGUUUCUUCUUUAUUACACCCCCUAUUAUCUGUUUGAAAUACUUCCACUACUGCCGUCCCCACAUCCUCUCUCAUUCAUUCUGCCUGCACCAAGACCUUCUCCGCCUAGCCUGCUCAGACAUUCGAUUCAAUAGCUACUACGCCCUGAUGCUGGUUAUUUGCACACUAUUGUUGGAUGCUGUACUUAUCCUCUUCUCCUAUGUCCUGAUUCUUAAAUCAGUUCUGGCAAUUGCCUCUCCGGAGGAAUGGCAUAAGUCAUUUCAGACGUGCAUCUCCCAUGUUUGUGCUGUCCUCGUGUUCUACAUUCCUAUCAUUAGCCUUACAAUGGUGCACCGAUUUGGCAAGCAUCUCUCCCCAGUGGUCCAUGUCCUUAUGGGCAACAUCUACAUCCUUUUUCCACCUUUGAUGAACCCUAUCAUCUACAGUGUCAAGAUCCAGCAGAUUCGUAGCAGAAUGCUCAGACUCUUUUCUCUAAAAAUAUGUUGA